UACGUAGUGUCCGAGCGUUGUCCGGAAUUAUUGGGCGUAAAGGGCUCGUAGGCGGUUUGUUGCGUCGGGAGUGAAAACUUCGAGCUUAACUCGGAGCUUGCUUUCGAUACGGGCAGACUUGAGGCAUUCAGGGGAGAACGGAAUUUCUGGUGUAGCGGUGAAAUGCGCAGAUAUCAGAAGGAACACCGGUGGCGAAGGCGGUUCUCUGGGAAUGUUCUGACGCUGAGGAGCGAAAGCAUGGGGAGCGAACAGG
rnacentral:rRNA from 1 species